rnacentral:ncRNA from 1 species
UGGGCUGGUCGAAAGACCCGGGUCCAUCAGCGGAUGGGGAGNGGUAUAUACCC